rnacentral:tRNA from 1 species
GCCGGUAUAGCUCAGUUGGUAGAGUAGCGCAUUCGUAAUGCGAAGGUCGGAGGUUCGACUCCUCUUACCGGCACCA